rnacentral:rRNA from 1 species
GACGAACGCUGGCGGCGUGCCUAAUACAUGCAAGUAGAACGCUGAAGGGGGAGCUUGCUUCUCCGGAUGAGUUGCGAACGGGUGAGUAACGCGUAGGUAACCUGCCUGGUAGCGGGGGAUAACUAUUGGAAACGAUAGCUAAUACUGCAUAAUAGUAUAUGUUGCAUGACAUUUGCUUAAAAGGUGCAAUUUCACCACUACCAGAUGGACCUGCGUUGUCUUUGCUAGUUGGUUGGGUAACGGCUCACCAAGGCGACGAUACAUAGCCAACCUGAGAGGGUGAACGGCCAAACUGGGACUGGGACACGGCCCAGACUCCUACGGGAGGCAGCAGUAGGGAAUCUUCGGCAAUGGACGGAAGUCUGACCGAGCAACGCCGCGGGGGUGAAUAAGGUUUUCGGAUCGUAAAGCUCUGUUGUAAGAGAAGAACGAGUGUGAGAGUUGAAAGUUCACACUGUGACGGUAUCUUACCAGAAAGGGACGGCUAACUACGUG